rnacentral:rRNA from 1 species
UACAGAGACUGCAAGCGUUAUUCGGAUUCACUGGGCGUAAAGGGUGCGCAGGCGGCCGUGUGUGUGAGGCGUGAAAGCCCGGGGCUUAACCCCGGAAUUGCACCUCAAACUACACGGCUAGAGCAUUGGAGAGGGUAGCAGAAUUCACGGCGUAGCAGUGAAAUGCGUAGAUAUCGUGAGGAAUACCAGAGGCGAAGGCGGCUACCUGGACAAUUGCUGACGCUCAGGCACGAAAGCGUGGGGAGCAAAAGGG